AUUUGUUAAGUUAAGACCAAAAUUAGUACCUUAAUGA
rnacentral:sRNA from 1 species